GCGUCCCUCCCUCCCCGGACCCUGCGCGUUGGUACAGCCUGCUCCGCCAGCGUCACGUGGGCGCCCCCUCUGUGACGUCGGCGUCUUCGCUGUAGCAAAGCUCGGCCUCUGGAAUUCUGAGAACUAAUUUGCUAUUCGGUGACAUAAGAGGGGGAGUGCGCUUUGCUUUCCCGGGGUCUGGGGCUAAUUCCUCGUCUCUUACCCUUAAACUCGGCUCCUCGAGCUAAAUACACAAAAGGGAGCGAGAGGUUCGACCCGUUGGAAAAAGUCUGUUCUGUAUAGUAGCUUUAGAGGCGAGUAAGAGAAAAAAACAAUAAACACCACAGCUCUUUCCAGCUAGAAUAUUAGGCACCACGAGAAAAAUAUUUGCCAAGCAGUUUUCGUGCUGCCCGGAACUCUGUUCUAGAACCUGGAGCAAAACCACUUGUCAGGACUCAGUUUCCUCAACCGUGUGAAGAAAUAACCGGGUGAUUUGCAUGGUAGCUAUCUCUUCUAAAUUCUAUACCUUUAUAUCCAGAUACAUAUUUACAUGACUUUAAGAUGGGGGAACGGAAGAGGAGCUAUAUCUAUGUGUGUACCUGGCGUGGGGGAAGGGGUUAAAAUUUAAACUUCUAAGUAAAGAAGGCAGUCCUAGAAUCCUCCCCUCUAUCAAUUUUUAACCAAUUGUAGACCAAAGUCUGGGGUUAUGCUGAGUGGGUUCAAAAACCAAUUGAAGAUUUUUAAAGUUGAGUUGGAGGAGACAGGUUCUGAGACCUUGUACCUUUGAUCUCCAGCAUUCAUAAUCAGCUGUGACAAUUCUCAAGUGUAUUUUCAGUACUGUAGUUCUUUUUUUUUUUUUUUCCUUCUGUUUGUUUUUGGAAACUGUCCCAGUCAAUGAUAGGAAGGAGAUGACACUUGUAAACUGGGCAGUCUUUAAGCCACUGGGCUCCAUGUGGAUGUGAAAAAUAUGUCAUAACAUUCACACACACACACACACACACACACACCCCACACACAAGAAGGAAGGAAAAAAAAAAACCUAGA